AAGCAAGGGAGUAAGAAAAGAAGAAACAGAGAAGGAGGUGAAAGAAGAGGGAGGUAAAAGAAGAAAGACGGAAGAAGGGAGGAUGAAGAUAGUGUAGGAAGACAGGAGCAGGAGAAAGAAAGAGAGAGUGUGUCUGGGAAAAAAAGGGGGGGAUUGAUAGCGAACAUACUGUAGAUGAAAGCUUUCAGAGGAGCAGGACGCUGAGAAGCAUCAGCGCUGUCAGAGCAUGUUCAACCCUCGGGGACUGCCGGGGGCCGGCCGUCAGCCUUUAUUUGGAGAGCAGAUAGUUUUCUACCUGCAGCCCUGGAAUCCGCUGAGAGGUGGGGUAUGCCAUUCUGGAGAAAUCCAACACCAUGACCGAGCGAACAACGACAGAGCAAGUCAUGUUAAAUCAUGGUGUGUUACCAGCUUGGCAUCAGAUCAUCAGACUCAAAGUGAGUGAGCAGAGAAGAGAGCGGCUGUAUUCAAACUGCCCUCCAGUGGAGACAGCGUGCACUGCACUCACGUUGCUCUCUGUCCCAGCUUAGCCUCAUUGUCCGGAGUGUUUCUUAUUGUUAACCACCUUCACUACCACUGCAGUCAGUUGUACAGUGGUAGCAGGGGACAUAAGUGCACUACAGAGAAGAGGUGAGUAUUCUCAGUCCACUAAUGCUCAUAAGGCAGACCGAUGGUCUCUAUCUAAAUGGUUCAAAUCAAAGGUGGUAAACUCCCUUUACUUCUGCGGCUCCACUGUGUCUCUGAGGACAAUAAACUGGAAACUGGUGUCUUGUCAGUGGCUUGUUUCUGUCACUGAGUCACUGAAGAUGAACUCCUGACUUCACACCACCUCUGCACUGUACAGUACUGUGAGUGUGUGUGGGUGGGGAGGGUCAGCUGGUGUUGUGAAUCAGGCCGCUGAAGUGUCAGACACGGCUUCUUCACAACACCAGGGUUCCUCCCUUCCACUUCCUGCUGGGCUAUAUGGCACUUCUGCAAGGUAACAGUAAUGGCUCUCCUCAAAUACUGCAUAUUAGAACAUAGUAAAUAUGCAUACGUUCAAUAAAUGCCACAGUGGAAACUGAGUUGAGAUGACACCUGUAAUCAUCUAUAACUGCUACCUGCAAAGUUUUGUAAUUUUAGCAAGUGGAUGCUAUUUCUAGUGUGUCCAAAGCUGUUUAACUACGGAUUUUUAAUGUGCCAUAAUUUUGCAUAAAUGUUUGUGCUCAUUUAUGCUCAUUGCAAACAUCUAUAUGUUAACAAGCCUAAUAUUUAGUCAUAAUAAGCUUAUUUUCUUUAUUUUUUUAAUGCCAACGGUGUGAUUCAUUGUCAUAGAUAUUGACACUGGGUGUCAGCAUGAUGGAGUAUCACGAACAGGCCAGACUGAUGCAAAAGAACCAAGAAACAAUAGUCUUGAUUCUCGAAACCAACACACCCCAACUCACCGCUUUUAGCACUUAUUAGCAGUAUAUUAACGCUUACUAGGGGGUUUAAAACUCACUAUAAUGCAAUUGUAAGCAGAUGCAAUCACUAGAUAUUACUGUAUUUGUCAAAAACUUAAUAAGCAUAAUUGUUUGUCUUUGUGAGUUUUGAAUGCAUUUAUAAUAAUCAUACACCAUUAUAUGAUUACAGCUCCUUUAUACACUAGUUAUGGAUGUUUCAUAAGUGGAGUUAUAAUUGGUGACAAAUACAUUAAUAGAGUUUAAAAAUGUCCUUAUAUUUGCUCACAACUUCAUUAUAGUGUUAUAAAUAUAGACAAUGUGGGGUUUUUUUUGCAUUGUAGUCAACUACAAAAAUCUAAAAUCCAAAGGUGAGAUAGUUUCACAAAUCAAGUUGUUCAGCCUAAUGGUUAAGGUCCGGCUGGGGACCUUUGUUGCACGGCUCUCAAAUAAAGAAAACAGAAUGUGUGGUCACUGUCCGACAGGUGAGGCUGAGACAGAGAUGCACUUCCUCCCACAAUGUAUAUCAUUCGAUGAAAUAAGGAACGUUUACUUUAACAAGUUCAGCUCUGUAAUCUCAGAUUUCAAAGAGCUAAAUGAGCUCUCAACAUUAAAACUGCUCCAAGGAGAAGGAGGCAGGGCCGAUCCUGCUGCCCAGUAUGUAGCAACAUGCCACAACCUGAGGGACAGUGAAUGACCUACACACACACACACACAUUCAUAAAAAAACUUUGCAAUGUUUAUGUAGUUUACUUGUAAUUGUAUUUUUAACUGCAAGUCAAUAUUUAUUAUUAUUAUUACCAUAUAAUCUUACUCAUCUGUAUAUAUUGUAAUAGCACAUUAUUUCUGUUUCUGUUUUUAUUUCACACAUGCUUUGACAAUGAUAAUAUCUGUUUGCCAUGCCAAUAACUCCCAAUUUAAUUGAACUGAAUAAAGGCAAAAUGCCAAAAAGUAAUCUCUAAAAAUUUUUUAAAAAAGAAUUGCAGUAAUUCAUUUUAUUCUGUCUUGUUUUACAAUAAGAUAGUGACACUCAUUUCAAGAAAAUUCAUAAAACAUAAAAGACAAACUUCACUGCGAACAAGUGGAAUUAUUAUUAUUAUUGUUUCUUGUGUUACAGUAUGAGAAACACAUCUAUAAUACCAAAGAGAGACUAAAUUACUAGCAUAUGCAUUGCCGGAACAGGACUUGGUCUUGGGUGGAGAGCUCUAACAUCAGACAGUGGCUGGAUUCUGUCCAUACAUACAGCAGCUGCUGGCAGCAGCACAUCUGCCUGUACAGCUACUGUCCGUCUAGAUUUUCAGUCUUGGCUCUGAAAUGAGUUACUAUAAGAGUGUUCAGGAAAUGUUUGAGUGGUAAAUAAAUGUCUCAUCACUGAAGGAACAA